GGCAGCGUCAUAGCACUCGAGGAGGUCUUGUAUAUUUUUGUAAUUGCGGUGUUCCGUUGAGAUGUAUUUCAUAUUAUAAUAAUAAAUGGACGACGGCGGCACAGAAAUUGCACGAUGGGGUGACAAUGAAUUCACGGGCGCCGCAGCGCGGUUCAAAACGAUGUUUCGCCUCUUUGCGGCAGUUGUUCUCUUCCCUAUCUCUCCCCCACUGAAUUCGUUUAGUGUUGUGUUUGACGUUAAAAUCAUAAAGGAGUUUACGAACUGCCAAAUACGAUUAGG